AUUGAACGCUGGCGGCAUGCCUUACACAUGCAAGUCGAACGGCAGCACGGGUGCUUGCACCUGGUGGCGAGUGGCGAACGGGUGAGUAAUAUAUCGGAACGUACCUUAUUGUGGGGGAUUACGCAGCGAAAGCUGUGCUAAUACCGCAUAAUCCCUAAGGGGGAAAGCGGGGGACCGUAAGGCCUCGCGCAAUUAGAGCGGCCGAUACCUGAUUAGCUAGUUGGUGAGGUAAAGGCUCACCAAGGCAACGAUCAGUAGCUGGUCUGAGAGGACGAUCAGCCACACUGGGACUGAGACACGGCCCAGACUCCUACGGGAGGCAGCAGUGGGGAAUUUUGGACAAUGGGGGCAACCCUGAUCCAGCAAUGCCGCGUGAGUGAAGAAGGCCUUCGGGUUGUAAAGCUCUUUUGUCAGGGAAGAAACAGCAGCUCUAACACAGUUUGCGAAUGACGGUACCUGAAGAAUUAGCACCGGCUAACUACGUGCCAGCAGCCGCAGUAA
rnacentral:rRNA from 1 species